rnacentral:rRNA from 1 species
UACGUAGGGUGCAAGCGUUGUCCGGAAUUAUUGGGCGUAAAGAGCUCGUAGGCGGUCUGUCGCGUCGGCUGUGAAAACCCGAGGCUCAACCUCGGGCCUGCAGUCGAUACGGGCAAACUAGAGUACUGCAGGGGAGACUGGAAUUCCUGGUGUAGCGGUGAAAUGCGCAGAUAUCAGGAGGAACACCGGUGGCGAAGGCGGGGUCUCUGGGCCGAUACUGACGCUGAGGAGCGAGAGCGUGGGGGAGCGAACAGG